rnacentral:rRNA from 1 species
GACGAACCGUGCGACCGUUAUUCGGAAUCACUGGGCUUAAAGCGCGUGUAGGCGGGAGGGCACGUCCGUUGCUGAAAUCCCCCGGCUCAACCGGGGAACGGGCGCGGAUACGACUCUCCUUGAGGGGCGUAGGGGGACCUGGAACUUCCGGUGGAGCGGUGAAAUGCGUUGAGAUCGGAAGGAACGCCCGUGGCGAAAGCGAGGUCCUGGACGACUACUGACGCUGAGACGCGAAAGCCAGGGGAGCGAACGGG